UACGUAGGGGGCGAGCGUUGUCCGGAAUCAUUGGGCGUAAAGCGCGUGUAGGCGGCUCGAUAAGUCCGGUGUGAAACCUUGGGGCUCAACCCCAAGCCUGCACUGGAUACUGCCGAGCUAGAGUCCGGGAGGGGAGAGCGGAAUUCCUAGUGUAGCGGUGAAAUGCGCAGAUAUUAGGAAGAACACCGGUGGCGAAGGCGGCUACUCUGGAACGGUACUGACGCUGAGACGCGAAAGCGUGGGGAGCAAACGGG
rnacentral:rRNA from 1 species